rnacentral:rRNA from 1 species
UUGAAAUCUGACCUGCCCAAUGAUUUAUUUAAUGGCCGCGGUAUUUUGACCGUGCAAAGGUAGCAUAAUCAUUAGUUUAUUAAUUGUGAACUAGAAUGAAUGGUUGGACGAAAUAUUAACUGUCUCAUUUAUAUUUAUAAAAUUUAAAUUUUAAGUUAAAAUGCUUAAAUUUUUUUAUAGGACGAGAAGACCCUAUAGAUCUUUAUUAUUAUUUAAUUUAUUAAUUUUUGGUUUAUUAUUUUGUAAAUUAUUAUAAUUUUUUAGUUGGGGUGACUUUAAGAUAAAAUUAACUCUUUUUUAAUUAAUACAAUUAUUUUUGUUUAUAUGACCUUUUAUUAUUGUUAUAAGAUUUAGAUACCUUAGGGAUAACAGCGUAAUUCUUUUUUAGAGUUCUUAUCGACAAAAGAGAUUGCGACCUCGAUGUUGGAUUAAGAUUAUUUUUAGGUGUAGGUGCUUAAAAUUUAAGUCUGUUCGACUUUUAAAAUCUUACA